rnacentral:rRNA from 1 species
GAUCCUGGCUCAGGAUGAACGCUAGCGGCAGGCUUAACACAUGCAAGUCGAGGGGCAGCGGGGAGUAGCAAUACUCCGCCGGCGACCGGCGCACGGGUGCGUAACGCGUAUGCAACCUACCUUUAACAGGGGCAUAACGACUGAGAAAUUGGCACUAAUUCCCCAUAACAUUCGAGAAGGCAUCUUCUUGGGUUAAAAACUCCGGUGGUUAAAGAUGGGCAUGCGUUGUAUUAGCUAGUUGGUGAGGUAACGG